rnacentral:rRNA from 1 species
UACGUAGGGUGCAAGCGUUUAAUCGGAAUUACUGGGCGUAAAGCGUGCGCAGGCGGUUGUGCAAGACCGAUGUGAAAUCCCCGGGCUUAACCUGGGAAUGGCAUUGGUGACUGCACGGCUAGAGUGUGUCAGAGGGGGGUAGAAUUCCACGUGUAGCAGUGAAAUGCGUAGAGAUGUGGAGGAAUACCGAUGGCGAAGGCAGCCCCCCUGGGAUAACACUGACG